UAGGGUGCGAGCGUUGUCCGGAAUUAUUGGGCGUAAAGGGCUCGUCGGCGGUUUGUCGCGUCGGGAGUGAAAUCCACUGGCUUAACUGGUGGCUUGCUUUCGAUACGGGCAGACUGGAGGUAUGCAGGGGAGAACGGAAUUCCUGGUGUAGCGGUGAAAUGCGCAGAUAUCAGGAGGAACACCGGUGGCGAAGGCGGUGGUCUGGGCCGGAACUGACGCUGAGGAGCGAAAGUGUGGGGAGCAAACAGG
rnacentral:rRNA from 1 species